rnacentral:rRNA from 1 species
GACGAACGCUGGCGGCGUGCUUAACACAUGCAAGUCGAACGGAAAGGCCCUGCUUUUGUGGGGUGCUCGAGUGGCGAACGGGUGAGUAACACGUGAGUAACCUGCCCUUGACUGUGGGAUAACUUCAGGAAACUGGGGCUAAUACCGGAUAGGAGCUCCUGCUGCAUGGUGGGGGUUGGAAAGUUUCGGCGGUUGGGGAUGGACUCGCGGCUUAUCAGCUUGUUGGUGGGGUAGUGGCUUACCAAGGCUUUGACGGGUAGCCGGCCUGGGAGGGUGACCGGCCACAUUGGGACUGAGAUACGGCCCAGACUCCUACGGGAGGCAGCAGUGGGGAAUAUUGCACAAUGGGCGGAAGCCUGAUGCAGCAAUGCCGCGUGCGGGAUGACGGCCUUCGGGUUGUAAACCGCUUUCGCCUGUGACGAAGCGUGAGUGACGGUAAUGGGUAAAGAAGCACCGGCUAACUACGUG